rnacentral:rRNA from 1 species
UACGGGGGGGGCAAGCGUUGUUCGGAAUUACUGGGCGUAAAGGGCUCGUAGGUGGCCAACUAAGUCAGACGUGAAAUCCCUCAGCUUAACUGGGGAACUGCGUCUGAUACUGGAUGGCUUGAGUUUGGGAGAGGGAUGCGGAAUUCCAGGUGUAGCGGUGAAAUGCGUAGAUAUCUGGAGGAACACCGGUGGCGAAGGCGGCAUCCUGGACCAACACUGACACUGAUGAGCGAAAGCGUGGGGAGCAAACGGG